rnacentral:rRNA from 1 species
GAUGAACGCUAGCGGCAGGCUUAAUACAUGCAAGUCGAGGGGCAGCACGAAUAGCAAUAUUUGGUGGCGACCGGCGCACGGGUGCGUAACACGUAUACAACCUACCUAUAACAGGGGGAUAGCCUUUCGAAAGAGAGAUUAAUACCCCGUAAUAAAUUGAGUGGCAUCACUUGAUUUUGAAAGCUACGGCGGUUAUAGAUGGGUAUGCGUCUGAUUAGCUAGUUGGUGAGGUAACGGCUCACCAAGGCGACGAUCAGUAGGGGAUCUGAGAGGACUAACCCCCGACACUGGUACUGAGACACGGACCAGACUCCUACGGGAGGCAGCAGUAAGGAAUAUUGGUCAAUGGAGGCAACUCUGAACCAGCCAUGCCGCGUGCAGGAUGACGGCCCUAUGGGUUGUAAACUGCUUUUGUACCAGAGAAACCUACUCACGUGUGAGUAGCUGAUAGUAUGGUAAGAAUAAGCAUCGGCUAA